GAUGAACGCUAGCGAUAGGCUUAACACAUGCAAGUCGAGGGGUAACGUGUUGGACGCUUGCUUCCGAUGACGCCGACCGGCGGGUGGGUGCGUAACGCGUAUGCAACUUGCCUCACAGUGGAGAAUAACCCGGAGAAAUCCGGACUAAUACUCCAUACACGCUUAAGUACGCCUGUACAUGAGAGGAAAGAUUUAUCGCUGUGAGAUAGGCAUGCGUCCUAUUAGGUAGUUGGUGGGGUAACGGCACACCAAGCCGACGAUAGGUAGGGGUGCUGAGAGGAGGGCCAGCCACCCCCGGACUGGGACACGGCCCAGGCCCCUACGUGUGGCGGCAGCGGGGAAUUUGGGACAUUGGCCGAAAGCAUGAUCCAGCACCGCCCCGUGUGUGAUGAAGGCCUUCGGGUUGUAAAGUACUUUUGUCGUUAACGAAAAGGACAGUGCCUCUACCACGGUGGGAUGUCGGUACCCGCAGAAUAAGCACCGGCUAACUACGCG
rnacentral:rRNA from 1 species